CGGGCACUUCUGUUCUAAGCCAGUGUGGUCUACGUAGACACGCAGAGGAGGGGAUAAAAGAGAAGCCUAAUGAUACAAGCCCCAGUAGCAGAUUUUACACUCUGCCAUAGAUAUAGUCUGCAGUGAGUGACUUGCCAACGAAAUCCUAGAUGUUGUACACUGUGAUGAGCAAAAUCGGAUACCAACUCUGGAGAAGUUGGGAUUUCAAAUUCUCAGCUAUAAACCCGGGAGAUAUCGAUAAGGUAACUUUUGUAGCACGUUAAUUACAGCAAAGGAAGCAGGAGAGUAAGAUGGUCGAGCUCACUAUGAAGUAGCAAUGAACACUUGUUCGCAGCCCCUUUGGUGUCUGUGGCAGCGAAGCUUUUGUCGUAAUCCUAACUCCUAAGGACGGAAAUGAUUAUACCUAGCAAAAACAAAGAUUAAAAAAAAAAAUGUAGCGUUUUUACAGCUUUUGCUUUUAUCAUAAUUAACCUUUUUUGUUGUUGAUAUAAAUCUAGCUACCUUCAGGAGAUUUAGUUGUUUAAAAUAUUAAACAUAUUGAAUUUCUUAAUAAGUUUUUACUUACAA